AAAAAAAGCAAUAAUAAUAAUAAUAAUAAUAAUGGUUGCGGAAUAUUUAAACAAUUCUUGACCUAUGACCCAAAUUAGUUUGAUACAAAACUUGUUCAAACUGGUAUUGCAAAAAUCGUUUUUGUAGUCCAUCCCGAUUCCGCGCAAAACAAGGAGAAAAUUGCUAGUUUCAAGCUGGAAAACAGCGUUUAAGACUUUAGUGUUUAAAAAAAUUUCUUUGUCGCGACGAUAAGAUUAAAGAAACAAAGGCGUCCAAGAUAUGCGCAUAUUAUUUGAAAAAAAACUAUGCUUUCGAGUCUUUUCCGAGCUCUAUUAAGGGUACAACCCACUUCGACACUUUUGAAAAACCGAUGUUUUUUUUUACAUUUUUCGAAACUGUACAUAUAAAAAAUAUCAUACUAUAAUUUAGUGAAGAUACGAGCAGUGUAACUAUAUUUUUCUGCAAUCUGAAUAUUACUAUCUGGGCGCCAAACCUCAACCCUCGCAUUGCUCGCCUAUAAUUGGUGCAAGCAUCUCAAGGCUCAGGCUGCUAAGAAAACGUAUGAACAUCAACCUGCUUUUUCUGCUGUUGUUCAAGAGUUACUACAACUUAUUUACGAGGACUUGACGGAAACGCAGCUGCUCAAACGGUGCUUGGGUGGCGAUACACAAAAUAACAAUGAAAGUUUUAACAAGUGUUUGUGUGAUAUGGCGCCCAAGCACAUGUUUAGUGGCAAACAAAUUGUCGAGAUCGCGUGCAAAACUUCGGCUUGCAUCUGCAAUGAAGGCUAUAAGUCAGUUUUAAAGAUAAUGGAGGUAUAAGGCUCACAAUCUUCCAAAGAGGCCAGAACGAAACGAAAACACACCAGUUUGGAAGAAUUUGUAGUUCAGGAACAAGCUGAAGGCGUUAUAUACGGUCCAGGCAUCGCUGAUUAAAUUUAGAUAAGCCGUUGUUGAGAUACUGUGCCUCCCGCCUACUUACUUCAAAAUCAUGGCCUUAUGUUUAGCUACUGUUUUAGUGUAUAAAAACUGAAAAAAAAACAAUAAACAAAUGUUUUCUUA